CUUCUAUGAAAAGAAUUUGAGGCAUGCAAGCAGAGUGACCCAAUUCCAUCACCUUUGUCUCCGCGACAAAAGGUUUCAUAUUUAAUCUGAAAGAGUUGAGAAUUUGCCCCUAUACCUGCACUAGGAGGACAGGACCUUGUUAUGCUUAACGAGGUCAAUGAAGGAAACUAUUGCACGGUCAACACAAAUCGAAAGAUUUAGUAGAUUUGUCAUCUGAAUUGCUCGCCGCCACGCUAUUUGUGGAAUCCUGUGUCGGAGUUGUAGCGAUAAUAGGAUUGGAAUCUUGCCUAUCAUCGCGAUCAAUACAGAAAUUACUCUUCCUUGCUCUAGAAGAGAGUACAAAUCACAGGGCUUGACAGUAUCUUUUAAUUCUCUCACAUGGAUGAUGGCAAUAUAGACAAUGAAUGAGACACUAAUGAGUUACAUGUGAUGCGGCCUUUAUUUGUUGGCGGGAUUCCUAAUCAAGGGUCACGAAUGUCGAAUGUAAGGUUUGUCCAGUCAACGUUUGUUGCUCACGCCAGAAGUUGGGAUUGCUUAAAGGCGAGAAGGAUUUUGAACAAAAAUAGGGAAAUUGACUUUACUACAGUGGGUGCGAUUCACGGUAUUGGGAGGAUUGGGUUCUUUUAGUGGGUUCAUGCGCAAUUUUGGUAAGGAAUGCUCUAACUUGGUGGGAUCUAGAUAUUGAAUAUUGCUCUCGUAAGGAUCAAAAGAUAAAAUUUUCACUAGUUGCAAACUGAGGCUGUAAAGGAAGUUGUAAUUAGUAAUGGUUUUCAAUAGCCCUUUAGUAGUGGGGGUGGCAAGAUGGUCCGCAAGGGCAUGCCAGUGGGUGUCAUGCAAUCCAGAACAUCUAAGCAGCGAGCAUGUGUUGACUCUUCUAUGCUGUCUUCCAUGCCAACAAAUUACAAGACUUGUUGUCUCUGUAUGUUCAUUUUUCUGUACGUGGCAUCCUGAGUUUUAUCUGGAUUCUGAUGAUGAAUAUUCCUAUUCGGAUUCUGAUUCGGGCUCUCUGUCUUACCACAAUGAUUCACAUUCUGACUAAGCUAAGAUUUUCAAAAUUGGGUUUGUAUAAUUGGGGAUUUAAAAUUUUUUCGUAGAUGGUGCUGGAGGAAUGUUCUUUAUCAUAUCUUUUACAGGAAAACAACACUGAAGAGAUGCGUGUCAUUGUUGUUAUUAUUUUUAAGGAAACAGUGUCAUUUCAAUAAUGGAAAGCUUUGUAUAUGUGCUUGUGCUUUGGGCAAUUGUAACCUACUCUUGAAGGAAAAAUUAAGGUGCAUCUUAGUUAAGUUU